rnacentral:lncRNA from 1 species
GGUUGGGAGCAGCGCCGCCGCUCACGGCGGCAGCAGUGAGGGCGACGACGGUGUUUCUAAUGCCCGACGAAUUUCCGGUGGAAGCCAUAUAAAGGCUAAAGAUCCUGCACCAAACUAAAAGUUUAUGGUUCUUAUGCGUUAUUGCUAGGUUUACUAUUGGUACAUUUGAUUUUUAUGCUUUUAUGUGAAGUGGCUGAUUGUGCAGUUAUAUACAUUUUGGUAUAUUGUACUUGUUUUUGUUGCUAAAGUAGAGGUUUCUCUAAUGUCCACUACACUUGAAAAGGUUUCGUAAGAGAUCGAUCUGUUUGUGAUUC